rnacentral:tRNA from 1 species
UAAAAGAUAAGCUAAAAAAGCUAACGGGCUCAUAACCCGUCUAUGAAUUCCUCUCUUUUAU